UCAGAUGCAAAGGAAUUGCUAAAGACUCAGUAGUUGAGGGCUAUAUUUUGAGCCAGGACCAAAGCAAAGAACUACUUUCAUUUAUAAUAAGGGCCCAGAUGCAGGAAGUAGACAUCUCAGACAGUGUGGUGUGAGAGCAGUGUGGGAUGGCAAAAAGAGGAUCCAGGCCAUCCUGGAAAUAGUCCUUUGGCCACAGAAGUUAAUUGUUACCAUCAGUGCCUUAGAAAGUAAGAAGUAGUGACUGACAUCAGGACUCCAAAACUGGAGUGGUCUUUGUGGCUCAGGCUCUGAUUUGGACCUGAAGAUUCUGCUACCUAUUCUGAAUAGUAAGUGAGCUUAACUUGGCUCUAGAAUAUUAUUGCAUCUGCCUUGAUUAAUUCUUUCCUGCAAGAUACUUGGCAGUGUGCCAAUGGUGGAGACAACCAGUUUUCUACCAAAUAGUCCAUU
rnacentral:lncRNA from 1 species